CGGGAAAGGAGCGGGGGCAAGUCCGCAGGAGGAAGCUGAUGAAAUCCUGGCCAACUCGCAGUGAGCUCAUCCCGCCCGGGCGCCUCCGGAAGCCACGGGGCCGCCCGGCCUCCGCCUGGCCCGAGCGAUAAAGCUCUCGUGCCGAACCAGGGCGGGAAGUCCUUCCUGAAGUCUGCCCUGCGUGGGGCCUGCUGCCAGAAGCCUGGGCCGGAGGGGAGGGGCGAGGACGAAGUAGCGAACCGUCCGCUGGCUGUCUUAGAAGGAUGAAAAGUGAAUUCUGAGCCUGGCUGUGGGAGCUGCGAAAUCUGCUUGCCCAGAAUGGCAGACAAGAUCUUGGAGACGAGACGGUUUUAGGUCUGCAGUCAACCAGCUCUAUUUUGUCUCACCAGCACUUCACAUCCGGCUUACUACCUCCGGGCACUAUUCUAAGUAUGUUACAAAUACGAACUCAUUUUAUCUUCACAAUAUUUUUGGUCCUGCCUGUGCAGAUCCCUUUUGGACAGUGAGGGAAACUGAGGCACAGAGCGGAGAAGCUGCUUGCUCAAGGUCAUCAUUUGAACCCAUGUCGGAGUUAUCGUUCCUCUGUGCUGUGCGCCCGUGGGAGAGGCAUUAACACUCAAAAUACGAAACUGCACAGAGUCAAGAAAACGCACUCGUGGACGGCCUGCGGACCACUAGUUUGAGACCCCAGCCUCAACAUGAGCAUCUGUGCAAAUAGACACGAACUGUCCUCCUCCCAGAAGUAGACCUGGGCAUCCUGACCCCAUGAACACAGGGACUUGCUGUCUCUCCCCAAACUGGAUUCAGGCAUCAUGGCUUUUGAACACAGGGCUGAUGAUCCUUCCCAGAAGAGAAUGCAGGCAUCUUGGCCCCAUAAAAAUAGGGGUCCUGGGCCGGGCUCAGUAGCUCACGGCCUGUAAUCCCAGAACUUUGGGAGGCCUAGGCCGGUGGAUCACCUGGGGUCAGGAGUUCAAGACCAGCCUGGCCAACAUGGCUAAACCCUGUCUCUAUUAAAAAUACAAAAAUUAGCCGGGCGUGGUGGUGCACACCUGUAGUCCCAGCUACUCAGGAGGCUGAGGGAGGAGAAUCGCUUGAACCUGGGAGGCAUAGGUUGCAGUGAGCCAAGAUCGCACCACUGCACUCAAGCAUGGGUGACAGGGCAAGCAAGACUCCAUCUCAAAAAAAAAAAAAAAGUAAAAAAAAAAAAAAUUAGCCAGGCAUGGUGGCACAUGCCUGUAGUCCCAGCUACUCGGGAGGCUGAGGCAGGAGAAUCGCUUGAACUGGGAGGAGGCUGAGGCAGGAGAAUCGCUUGAACUGGAAGGAGGCUGAGGCAGGAGAAUUGGGAGGCAUAGGUCGCAGUAAGCUGAGAUCAUGCCACUCUGCACUCCAGCCUGGGUGACAGAGUGAGACUGCGUCUCAAAAAAAAAAAAAAAAAAUAGGGGUCCAGGCCGGGUCCAGUGGUUCAUGCCUGUAAUCCCAGUACUUUGGGAGGCUGAGGUGGGAGGAUCAUUUGAGCCCAGGAGUUUAAGACCAGCCUGGGCAAAAUGGUGAAACCUCAUUUUUACUAAAAAUACAAAAAUUAGCUGGGCGUGGUGGCACAGGCCUGUAGUCCCAGCUAAUCAGGAGGCUGAGGCAGGAGGAUCACCAGAGCCUGGGAAGCGGAGGUUGCAGUGAGCCAAGAUCACACCGCUGCAUUCAAGCGUGGGUGAUAGAGUGAGACCCUGUUCUCAUAAAAGAGGCGGAGGGGUCCUUAGCUAGAGGUUUCCUUGCUUGGAUUCUCAGAGAGUCAACGGACUCCCACACUGGUAAUAGUAAUGACAAGUAACAUAUAUUAAACAUCCAUCAUGCCCCAGUACUUUUAUUGUUUAAUUUUUUUUUGUUUAUUUAUUUAUAAAACAGGGUCUUUUUAUUUUAUUUAUUUAUUUUUUUGAGACAGAGUCUCGCUCUGUCGCCCAGGCUGGAGUGCAGUGAUGGGAUCACAGCUGUCUGUGGUCUUGUCCUCCUGGGCUCCAGCCAUUCUCCUUCCUCAGCCUCCCAAGUAACUGGGUCCACAGGUGCACACCACCACGCCUGAUUAUUUUUUAAAUUUUUUGUAGAGACAGGGGUCUCACUAUGUUGCCUAGGUUGGUCUGGAACUCCUGGGCUCAAGCAAUCCUCCUGCCUCAGUUUCUCAGAAUGCUGGGAUUACAGGCAUGAGCCACUGUGUGCCUAGCCCAAUGUUUUAUUGUUAUUCACAUUCUGACUGCACAUCCUAUGAGGUAGGGACCUGUGCUGUCUCAACUCACAGAUGAGGAAACUGAGGCACAGAGCUGUGACCACUUCCCCAACAUCACCCACAGGUGGCAGAGGGGAUUCUAAGUCAGGCCAUCUGGACUCACAGCCCACAGUCUUUCAUGAGGGCUGCAUGCGGGCUUAGGAAACCAAGGCAGGCGAAUGGGUUCAGGCCAGGAGUUGGAAACAUGCCUGGGUAGGCAACACAGUGAGACCUCAUCUCUACAGAAAAUUUAAAAAUUAGCCAGGUGUGGUGGUGUGCACCUGUAGUCCCAGCUACUCGGGAAACUGAGGUGGGAGAAUUGCUUGAGCCUAGGAGGUGGAAGCUGCAGUGAGCUGUGAUCAUCAGCUGUGAUCAUGCCACUGCACUCCAGCCUGGGCAACAGAGCAAGACCCUGUCAAAAAAAAAAAAAAAAAAAGAGGCAGCCCUUGACCCACCCACAAACUUCUUUUUCUUUGCCCACAAGGGUUUUGUGUUGUUGUUGUUUUGGGGGUGGGGGUCGGUUUUUUAUUUUUGAGGCGGAGUCUUGCUCUGUUGCCCAGGCUGCAGUGCAGUAGCGCGAUCUCGGCUCACUACAACCUCCGCCUCCCGGGUUCAAUCGAUUCUUCUGCCUCAGCCUCCAGAGUAGCUGGGAUUACAGGCAUGUGCCACCACACCCAGCUAAUUUUUGUAUUUUUAGUAGAGACGAGGCUUUGCCAUGUUGGCCAGGCUGGUGUUUUGUUUUGCUUUUGAGAAAGGGUCUCGCUCUGUCGCCCAAGCUGGAGUGCAAUGGUGCGAUCACAGCCUACUGCAGCCUCGACCUCACAGGCUCAAGCGUUCCUCCCACCCCAGCCUCCCCAGUUAGGUUUCCGCAUGUUGCCCAGGCUGGUCUGGAACUCCUGGGCUCAGGUGAUCCACCCAUCUCGGCCUUCCGUGAUACUGGGAUUACAGACGUGAGCCACCACGCCCAGCUGUGGGGAGGAUUUUGACUAGUGAUAACGCUUAUGGCCAAAUAGACUCUUGGCCUCUCCCCAUCUUUUCUACCUCCAGCCACCAAGCCAGAUUCCCACUAUCCUUCACACUCAUUUUCUUCUCAAAAGAACAUUAUAGGCCGGUGUGGUGGCUCACACCUGUAAUCCCAGCAUUUUGGGAGGUCAAGGAGGAACGAUUGCUUGAGGUCUGGAAUUUGAGACCAGCCUGGGCAACAUAGUGAGACCCUGUCUCUACAAACAAACAAACAAAUAAAGAACAUUCCGGGGCUGGGCAUGGUGCCUCAUGACCAUAAUCCAGGCACUUUGGGAGGCCAAGGAGGGAGGAUCACUUGAGCCCAGGAGUUUGAGACCAACCUGGGCAACAUAAUGAGACCCCAUCUUUACUAAAAAAAGAAAAGAAAAGAAAAAAGAAGGAGAAGAAGGAGGAGGAGGAGGAGGAGGAAGAAGAAAAAAGAAGAAGGAGGAGGAGGAGGAGAAGAAGAGAACAUUCCAGGCUGGGCAUAGUGGCUCAUACCUGUAAUUCCAGCACUUUGGGAGGCUGAGGCAGGUGGAUCACCUGAGAUCAGUAGUUCGAAACCAGCCUGGUCAACAUGGUGAAACCCCGUCUCUACUAAAAAUACAAAAAAAAUUAGCCAGGCGUGGUGGUAGGUGCCUGUAAUCCCAGCUACUCAGGAGGCUGAGGCAGGAGAAUCACUUGAACGCAGGAGGUGGUGGUUGCAUUGAGCAGACAUUGGGCCACCACAUUCCAUCCUGGGUGACAGAGCGAGACUCCGUCUUAAAAAAAAAAAAAAAAAGAACAUUCCAGUACAUCUGGCCUCCGAGUAUCUACCCUGCAAUGGGCAGUCUGGACAUUGAUCAGUGAGUGAGAGGUGUGAGGUACAGGUGGGACCAUGAGCUAGCAGAGGGCUAGAGACUGCCCCUCUCUCAACUUCAUCAGUGUCAAGCAACAGGAAAUACUGACAAUAAUUAGUUAUACAAGUGAUAAUAGCUAACACUUAUUAGGCACUUACUAUAUGUCCAAUACUGCACUAAAUGACUUCCAGUGUGAUCUCAUUUAAUAAGUGUCUAAAGCAGCAUUUCUCAAACGUCUUUGAACUCGAUCUAUGGCCAGAAAAAUACCUUCCUUGUAACCUAAUAUGUAUUCACUAUACAUCAAUAAAAUUUCCACAAAAUAUUACUUUCCGUUGACUUCAUAAUUUUUUAAAAUUAUAUUUUGUUUUGUUUUUUUAAGAGGGAGUCUGGCUCAGCACCCAGGCUGGAGUGCAGUGGUGCAAUCUCGGCUCACUGCAACCACCGUCUCCCGGGUUCAAGUGAUUCUCCCAUCUCAGCCUCCUGAGUAGCU
rnacentral:lncRNA from 10 species